rnacentral:rRNA from 1 species
GAUUUCUGGUUGGAAUGACUUAGCCCGCCACGGUUUCGUGUGUGAGUGCUGAUUGUCAAUCGACCAUCCUUCUAGAUACGCCAAGCACUGCUCUUCAUUGAGUUGGUGUUUCGAAUCUAGAUCGUUUACUUUGAAAAAAUUAGAGUGUUUCAAGCAGGCUUGUUGCUAUGAAUACAUUAGCAUGGAAUAAUAAUUUAGGACUUCGGUUCUAUUUUGUUGGUGUUAUAGGACGGAAGUAAUGAUUGAUAGGGAUAGUUGGGGGUGCUAGUAUUCAGAGGCCAGAGGUGAAAUUCUUGGAUUCUCUGAAGACUAACUUAUGCGAAAGCAUU